UUUAUAUGUAAUACUUCAUUUUGACAACGAAACAGCUGAUUGUUAUAUGUUUGGUUUAAAUCAUACGAUGGUUUAUUUCAGUAAUGAAGGCUGCAAAUUACUUUGGUUAUACCUAAAUAUCAUGAGACAUAAAUACUCUUUACAAAAAACUUUAACUCAAAAACUGUAAAAAAAUAUUUAUAUGAAAAAAUGGCGCCCGACGUGAGGAUUCCUUGCUUUACUGUAAUCAAAAAUAAAAACUUAAUAGCUCAUGUGAUGGUUUAUUUCCUUAGGGUUAGAUAUUAAUUUGUAUAUACCUAAAUUUCAUAAGAAAUAAACUAUCUUUACAAUUUCAAUAAUGGAAAAUGGAGCCCAACGUGGGGAUUUCUUGCGUUACUAUUAUUAAAUAUAAAAACUAACUUAUACAAUGGUUUAUUUCAGCAAAGUUUGGAUAUACCUAAACACCAGGAGAAAUAAAUACUCAUUUUAAAAUUUUAAAGUUGUCAAGUGUAAAAAAAAAUAUUAUGAGAAAAUGGCGCCCAACGUGAGGAGUUCUUGCUUUAUCAUAACAAAACAUAAAAUAGAGGAUUAACAAGAGAUACAAACAACACAAGGCAGAAAAACAGUGGAGAAAAAAUACACCACAAAAACUUUCGGCAGGUUUUAGAUGAUUCCCCAUCGUUCUUUUUAUCCCGCUUACUAAGUUUUUUUUCGGUUAUUGAUACGAAAAGAUGAUCAGUGGUUAUGCCUUGCCAAAAAAAAUACUAACAUCUAAGUUUUGUAAAGCUUUGAAAUGUUCUCCUUUGGAAUUAAUUUUGACAGAACUAAAUUGAAGAAUCAAAACAUGUCACUGAAACAUAAUAUGUACAAAACAGUUUUUCCAUUUUGCUACGAUGUUAAUUUGUAAUACUACAUAAAGAAAUUGGGCAUAGCAAAAAUAUUCGUGUACUUCAUUUCGAUAUGAGUCAGUUUGCGGUAGGCUCAAGUAAAAUCAAUAUUCUUUAUCCACUAUAUUUUUUUGUUAUUUUAAGACAACUAUUUGGUUAUUGAGAUUAUUUUAUUCAACACUUUUUGAUUUAUAGACAACAUACAAAGCUAGAAAUUGUGUGGCGCCCAACGUGAAGCUCAUUUUCUUUUUUUUUAAUUAAGAAUUCUAGUUUCGUUAUUUAGAUCAUUUUUUAUUCAUUCAAGAACCAAAUCACUAGAUUUUGGCUUUCUAUAAACUCUGGAAUUAAGAAUAUUUGUAUUUUAGUUCGGUAUGAUACUUGAGUUCACAUUAUUUUUAGAUCUAAAUUUAAAUUAAUCCUGUAAAACUUCUAACAAAAAGUUUAAUUUUUUAAUUGACUUAUUUUUUUUUAUAAAGUUUUUUGCUUCUAGACAAAUGAAUGAAGAAAAUCAAUUAAAUUUCAAGUUAAUUCUUGCUUUCAAAUUGUAUUGUAUUCAACGACAACAAACUCCCUUAUCAAAGGCUGCAAACAUUGGCUAUGAUAAACAAUAACAAAAAAAAAAGGAAUAUGUGUUCUCAUACCGAAACAUCCCGGAUAAAAAUGAAUUUUGCCCCUCUUGUUUUUGGGUGCUUCGCAGUUACACAGAAAUUCACACUACUAUUAGUUAGAAAGACUGUAGAAAUAGGUGAUUAUGGGUAUUGGUAAACCAAUUUGAGAGCAACUCAUGGUAACAGCGCAAGUGCAAAAACCAAAGAAUAUGAUAGUAUGAUCAACUGAUAAUAAUUACAAGAGGAAGGGAACAAAAAGCCGUCACGAAAACUUUACAAUAACAUUACCAAACAAAACACUAUCUCUAAAAAGAUAACACAGAUAUCAAGUCAAUAAAUUGUUACUUUUUAUCUUUAAAUGAUAAAAAUACAUUCCCAAACAGAAUACUCUUCUUAAAUAACAACACCCAAGCAGUCAGACGACAUGAGCCCCUAAUUCUCAGUUAUUUGCACCGUGUGUGGAAGAGCAACCAAAAUCAUGACCUAGCACAAAGUCAGCAACCGCAGCGCUACGACACAGCAGGAAAUUCAUCAGACUCACACGACGUGCUUUGGCAUAUCACCCACCCUUUAUAUAUAUCAUUCAAUCUAUUAUAAAUUACAACAGCAAAAGCGUUCGAAGCGGCUCGGCGUGGCGUGGCGCAGGUACAAAGCGUCAGAGCUUUUUUCUAUUAAAAAUAUAAAAAUAAACACGUAGUUAUACAUCUUAUUUAGCGUUUCGUUGUAUCAAUUCUUAUAUAACAUCAGACUGAUUUUUUCCACAAAAUAUUGCGCCAACACUGCACUACAGCCAGGCAGAAAAUGACAGUAGCAGCAAGUGGAGACAGAAAACAAAUUGCCCUAAAGUUAUAAUAAUACAAACAAAUGAAAUAUAACAAUAAAAAAAGGCUAGUUUCAGGUGGGGUUCUAAAAACAUACGACGAAAUGUAUAAAUAAAGUACAAUUUUUAUUAAAAAUAAAUGCAAAAAUUGUUUGAAUUCCAUGAUUUAUUUAAAUUUAAAGUGGAAUUAUUUCUUGGUUAAAAAUAAAAUAAUAUAAAUAAAAACGACUUAAAAGCCAAAAAUGUUACAAAUGUUAGAAAUGUAUACGUGCAAGGUUAUGUGGAACUUUUAGACGAAUACAUAUUUGAGUUUUUUUGAUUAGCAAAAAGUGUGCAAUGAGAUACUUAUAAAUAAAGUUUCUUCAAGUAGUUUACAGUGGUGUUUAAAAGUUUUAGGAGAACGAGCCAUUUCUUUAUUCUUUUUGACUUUUUUUCUGUAAAAAGAGCAUCUUUCAGUUUACGCAUGCAGAUAUCAAUUAUAGACUUGAUUUCAGAACCUUGAACAAAACCAAUUAUUAUGAGAACAAAAACGUAUUUGAUUAAGCUUUUAUGCGUGUCUUUAUUCAACAUUAAAAAUUCAUUGCUAUUUCUUGGUUUUUGAAAAGCAAUACCUAUCUUUUACCAUGGCUUGAGAAAUUACUUGAACACAUUACCAUUUCCUAGUCCCUAUUAGGCGGAUCAAUUCUUCUAAACAAAUAAAGUCUUCAAAUUGGCUCUGACAGAUUUCCGCCACACUAAAAACCCAUGUCGUAAAAAUAACCAUCGAAAAGUCUUUAUUAUAAUUUAAAUGUUAAGUCUCAAUUCAUCAUAUAAAUAAAAUGUUACAGAUCAACUACAAAACAACCUUGAAUUGGGUUAUCAGAAUUUCGAUAGGCAUCAUCGUGAUGGUUUCACAGAUCAUACAUUUACAACUUAUUUAACCUCGUACCUAUAAACAUUUCAUUGAAAUCUAUAAGAAAAUAUGUUUAUCGUUCAAGAAACACCAUAACUUAAUGAAGCACAAAAGAAAAUAUUAUCGUAUAGGAAAUUUAAAGAGCAUAACAAACGUUUGCGCGAGAGUGUAACCAAAACCCAAAGUAUAUACGAAUUUAUUGUCUACUAAUCCAAUACACCAGAAUCAAAGUCGUCGUCGCUGGUUUUUGCUUCAAUUCAAACACAAGACAUUUUUCCCAAGUAUUCUCAUUUCAGUGGUUUUGUGAAAUCAGUCGACGACGGGCAUUCAAACUUAGAGCCACAGUUCUCUUUUCCUUUCCGAUUAAAUAAAAAAAAAUAAACCCCAAAACGAGAAGAACUCUUCGUGUGUGCAUCUAAAAUAAAUGCCUUUUUAUAUGUGUACAUAAAUACAUAAAAAAAAAUGUUUAUAUAAUUAUUGAAGAAGAAAAAAUAGUCAUAAUAUGUUCUCCUCAGGAGAGCGAUUGAGAUACCAUUGUGGCGAAAAGAGAAACGAUUUGAAUUAGAGGUGCUGCUGUUUAUAUUGAAAAUAUAUAUUUUUUGGAAACGUUAUCUACAUAAUAUCUGCUCUCGGAGGUUCACAUUCUUCGGUCGAAUAAAAUGAUCCAAUGACGCUGUACACGAAUAGAAUGCCACAAGGUUCUUCAUAGUGGGUGCGAUAUUUUUUUUAUUUUACUUUAGUUGAAAAUGCGUUUUGAGAAUUGUGGAAAUUAUAAUUAAAAAAAAAAACAA